rnacentral:rRNA from 1 species
UACGAACCGUACAAACGUUAUUCGGAAUCACUGGGCUUAAAGGGUGCGUAGGCGGCCAUGUAAGUGAGGUGUGAAAUCCCUCGGCUCAACCGAGGAACUGCGCUUCAUACUGCAUGGCUUGAGGGAGACAGGGGUAAGCGGAACUGAUGGUGGAGCGGUGAAAUGCGCAGAUAUCAGGAGGAACACCAGUGGCGAAGGCGGUGCUCUGGGCCGGAACUGACGCUGAGGAGCGAAAGCGUGGGGAGCAAACAGG